rnacentral:misc_RNA from 1 species
GUACCCUCCAGCCCUGCUGGGUGUUGGGCGUUUUGUUCCGCCGCGCGCGUGAACUCGCCUCAAAUGCAUUGGCAGCCAGCCGUCCCGUGUGAGAGCGCAGCACAUUUUGCGCUCUCCGCUGGGUGCGGCGGCGUCCACAAGCCUAUACCUUUAC